rnacentral:rRNA from 1 species
ACGCACGCUGGCGGCCGGCUUCACCCCUGCCAGUCGCACGCACCUUUCGGGGUGAGUGGCCGACGGGUGAGUAACGCGUGGGAAUCUACCCUUCUCUACGGGAUAGCUCCGGGAAACUGGAAUUAAUACCGUAUACGUCCUGAGGGAGAAAGAUUUAUCGGGGAAGGAUGAGCCCGCGUUGGAUUAGCUAGUUGGUGGGGUAAAGGCCUACCAAGGCGACGAUCCAUAGCUGGUCUAAGAGGAUGAUCAGCCACAUUGGGACUGAGACACGGCCCAAACUCCUACGGGAGGCAGCAGUGGGGAAUAUUGGACAAUGGGCGCAAGCCUGAUCCAGCCAUGCCGCGUGAGUGAUGAAGGCCCUAGGGUUGUAAAGCUCUUUCAGUGGGGACGAUAAUGACGGUACCCACAGAAGAAGCCCCGGCUAACUUCGUG